CUCACCAAAGCCGGAAGCGGCUGGCGUUUGAAAUGGUAUGAGCUGGGAGUCGCUCUGCCUGCCCGUUUCUACGCUACACUGGCCGACACUCAAGCACUGGCAGAGAGGUUCUGGGGGUGGCCUGGCAGGAGGCGGCGCAAUGGACACGCGGUCCGAGGACGGGGGCCUCAACCUCCAACCCACGCUUGCCUCUUCCUGGGAUGCCAUCUGCAGGCGGGGCCCUGACUCACAGCCUCCUCACCGGGCCGGUCUCGGCGCCCGCGACUUCGACUGGGAGGAGCUGCUGGCGCCACCUGCUCCAGGCCAGGAUCUGGUGAUUUAGAAGAGAAGCUUGAACAACCAAGAUGAAAACCCCUGCUUCCUUUACCUGAGGUGUGGCCCCGAUGGAGGUGAAGAAAUCGCUUCUAUUGGCAUUUUAAGUUCAGCAAGAAAUAUGGAAGUGUACUUAGGAGAGGAGUACUGUGGAACCAGUAGGGGCAAGAAUGUUUGUACUGUCCUGGAUGACAGUAAGCACGAAAUUAUUUUCUACAAAAAUUACUUAAUAGUGGCGUCCUCCACUCAUGCCUGUAAAAUAAAGUUGCUCUCAUUUGGUGAAAGGCAGUGUGUGUUCAUCAGUAAAGCUGUGAUACACAUGAGAGGAGUUUCAGCAAAUUCUUCAACAAGCUCUCUGGCUCUAAAAUCAAGAGUAGACCUAGACAGGAUCCAAACCAUAAUGGAGUCCAUGGGGUCAAAGUUAUUUCCUGGAGCUCAGCAAUUGAUGAAUAUGGUUAGUUCUCAUCAGUGGAAUUGUAUUCCCAUUGGAGAGCAGCUUCAGUUUGGUGUUGGGCAAUUCUGGAUACAAGCAUAUGGACUACAAUCCUCAUCUACCUUAGGAGCCUUAGACGAGUCAUCCACACGGUUCCCUUUGGGAACUGGAUUGACAUCUGGAAACGUGACUGAAAACUUACAAGCUUACAUUGAUAAAAGUACACAGGCAUCUAGUGAAGAGAAUUCUGCAAAGCUUGAUGAGUAUAAAAUUGUGCCACAAAACCAUUCCCUUCUUGAAAAUGAUCUUAAAAAUGCAAUGUCCUGUUUCUUACCAAAGAAAGCAAAUGACAACUCAAAUAUACUUAACUCUGAGUUGCUGCCGUGUCUCCAGAAUUUAUAUAAUCAAGUUAGCUAUCUCCAUGUGGGACAUAAGGAUAAGUGGCAGGAAAACAUCAUCAAGCCUGAUGAAGCCAUUCUUGGUGUUGGAAUGGAAGAGCAGCCUGUUUGCUCCUAUUUGGAAAAUAUUCUUUCUAAAAAUAUGGAACUGAUAGAAAAGAAACUUAUAGACUACAUUGAUGAGCGAAUAUAUAAACUCCAGGAGCACAUUGAUGAUAAGAUUGCUUUGUGAAUGGAUGUGCUGCAAAAUCCUAACUCCCUGCCCACUGGGCUACCUCUAAGACAUUAUGACUCUGGAGAAAGACUUUCAAAUGGAGAAAGAUAAGCUCUCAACAUAAACAGUGUACUGCAGAUGUUUAUUACCUAUUUAUUACAAACCCAAAACCCAAAAAUAUUUAUAAAAAGCAAGGAUUUAAUGUGCUUUUAAGGAUCAUCAUCUUUCUUACUGAAGUGACCUCAGUGUUCAUUAUUACUACACUUGUACUGUAUACUAAGGGUUAACACGAUAACAGUCUUAAAUUAUUUUUGCUAGUAAUAUUUUUCAUGAAUAAGUGUAUAUAUACUUCUGUGUUGUAUGUUCUAAAUGUUUAAGGAUUUCUAAUAUAAUUCAUUAGUAUAUGUAAUAUAUGUUUGAUUGAAGUACUAUUUUAAUUUAUAUGAAGACCUUAUUUUAUAGUUUCAGGGAUAUAAAAGGAAUGCUUAGAGUAUUUGAUUGUUUUUUCUAAUUGACUGUUCUUGGAGAACCGGGUAGUUAACCUGAAACCUUUAUUUUAGAUCACUAACUUAAAUUUUAUACUGUUUAUUUCAGGUAAAAAACUAGAUGUGAUAUUUGGCAUGUGUAAAAUCAGUUCACAUUGGGGCCAUUAAUUUUACAUUCUGUCACAUUGUAACAGUAGAUAAGAAAGCGAAUAUCAGAACUGGUCUAUUCCUUGUUAGGAUUAUUAUUUUGGAUUUAGUGUAUGAUGUAAAACGGGAGAAUUUAUCUCAUUUUAUCUCAGUAAACCCAGAAAGUGUAAGGAAGUCUGUUUUGUUUGUUGUUGGGUUUUUUUAAACAUUUUUUGAGCUGAUAUAGAUUCUUCUUUCCAAACCCUUUCCUGAUACAUUUAAAGUGUGAAAUGCUGAGGUUCCCCACUGAAGGAUUAAGGUAUAUAAAUCAAGGAGAUUGCAGUUAUCUCUGGCAGACUUAAUUUUCAGAGAUUGUAACUGUUGUGUGUGUGUGUUGAAGAGUGAUAUAUUUGCAUCCUAAAAAUAAAUGCAUCUUCCCUGGAAACUACAUCUGAAAUAAAUAGAAAUAUUGUCUUUUUACUAAUAUUUGUUAAGUUUUUUGGUUUUUUAGAUUCAGGGGGUACAUAUGCAGGUUUGUUAUGUGGGUGUGUUACAUGAUACUGAGACUGGCUUCUAGUGAUCCCAUCACCCAAGUAGUGAACAUAGGACCUGAUAGGUAGUUUUUCAACCCUCCCCCCCUCCCAUCCUCCCCCUUUUGGAAUCCUGAGUGUUUAUUCACAUUUUUGUGAAGAUGUUUGUUUUUGUGUAAAAGGAUGUCUUACACUCCUUUAAUAUUUUGGUGAAUUUACAUGAGAACUAACUUAUAUAAGUUUGUUCAUUUAUGACUCGGACCUCAGAGACAUGAGAACGUGUAUGUUAUUUUUAUCAGAC